GGCCAUCCAGCAUCUGCUCCUCAUCGUCUUUCUGGCUUCCGUCCUCCAAGCGACCACCUCCGACACAGCGUACGACCUUUUGGAGAAAAACAAAUUCCCGCGGGCUCUCCUGCCUCAGGGUGUGAAGUCGUACGUGAAUCAUGGAGGCGCCGUUGAGGUGACCCUCCCCGCCUCCUGCGACUUCAACGUUACGGUUGCCGGUGGAUCACACAAGAUUCGGUUUGACAGCAUAGUCAGUGGGGUUAUCCAGCCCGGAUCCAUAACUCAACUGGGCGGCGUGAGGAUCCAGUUUGAGUGGGAUUUUCUUGCAUUCCACACGGUUCAACGCGUCGGUGACAAGCUCAGGUUUACUGGUAGUGAGCAUGCAGCCACGUUCGACCAGUCAUUUCCGGUUAGCAACUUCGUGCAGAGCCCCAGGUGCAGCUAAGGGCCUGAUUGAUUAGGGAUGCAUCGCACGCAUGCUUUACUAUAAAUGUAUGCAAUAUGCAUGUGUCUUUGUGAGUCCGUUGCUUUAUGUAGAAUGAAUAAAUUGAUUAUGUAAUCAGUCAUGGUUCCAAGACCUAAUAUUAUUGUGAUGAUCAUUUUUUGCCCAGUUAUUUAUUGUAAGAUGUUGCAAUGGUUCCUCCUAACCACAGGAACUAGAAAUUCCACAUGAUAUACUCUGUCGGAGUCUCGCAGGUAAUUAGAAAUAAUCUUGAUCUACAUAGCAUCGAGUGUUUGAUAAAAAACUACCACUUUAGAGAUAUCUGUCCCACAAAAGUACCACUUUUUAAAAAGUGACCAAAUACUACAAAAAUUUCUUAAUUUUGUGACUAAAAACUACCAGUUUCAGAUAAUGACGAGUUUAAAUGAUUUAAACACGUUUAUGACAUGAAGGGCCCACUAGUCAAGGUUGACGUGCGGCAAAGUCAACUCCGUUUAUUUUGACCGUCGAGUUGACCGUUAUUAUAGGUGGGGCCACACAUCAGCGCCCUGGUCAGCGUCUACAUUCUUCUUCCUCCCUCUUUUAGGCAUUUCAACGAACAUCUUGUACUCGAAACAAAAUCAAUCGAUGCUGCCGCUCGCCGAGGACCACCUCCUCGCGCCCCGGUGCAUCGAGUCGCGGAUCCACAUCACGUUGCACGAGUAGCAGUAGCAUGCAGCGGGGUGGCAGAUGUGGUAGACCAGCGACCGCCAGACCCAGCAGCGGAAGGCGGUGAAGGUAUGCGCCGAAGCCCCAGGCGUCCUCAAGCACCAUCAUCACCGAGGCUACGCACCACACCGCGCCGACGUGCGCAGCCCCGGCAAAGUGCACAAUGCCUCCCGGCAGCAGGGCCUCCUGCGUGGAGCCGAGGAGGAGGAGAAAGGCGUGAAGGCAAGUGGUUGUGAGGUGCCCGGCAACCUUGCGCCCGGUCCAGACAAGGCGCGCGGCGCUGCGGGAGUUGCCUCAAAAGACGAACAUGACGGACUUGGCGAGGAAUGUGAGGACGGUGUGGACAUCACGCCCGAUUGAGCGGGCGUCACGGUCGGCGUCACCGUCGCCUGUCGUCGACAUAGAGCGCGAUGACCCGCACACACACCUCGUCCUCCGAGAGCGAGCGCGACGCUCGUGGAGGUGCCUCUGCUGUUGACCAGGAGGCAGGCACGGCGCCAUGCUCGGACUUCCAUCGCGUCUGUGUUGAAUGCGGCCGUGGCGGCCUCUUCGUCGCUCACUCUCAUGGCCGGCAGUCAGAGCAACUCCAAAGGGCCGACCCAUUUCGUCCGCCUGCGUCCGUUUGGGUCAGCACGGACAAAAGUGGCGGCCUAACGCGCCGACCCAAACCCAAAUCACGUCUGCGUCAUGUCCGCGCCGACGCAUUUGCGGCCCAAAUUUGUGCCCCAAAUGCGUCAGCGCGGACAUCGAACGGACGCUUCGCGCGCCUUCUCGCUAUCCGCCGCGUCCCCACAUGGCGGCUGUCCAACUACCCGCUGCCCACGCGGUCAGCUUAAUUUAUGAUGACGGGCCCACGCAUCAACGAUGGCGCUCGUCCUUUUUUAUGCCGACCGUGCGGCGGGGCCGUCCUCAUCCAAACUCGCCGUCCACAUCUGCCCACCUUUGCUCCCUCGUCGCCGGCAAACCCUAGCCACCACAACCACAGCGAGAUGGGCCUCUUCUCCGGCGCCAGCGGCAGCAAGGCCAAGGGCAAGUCCCCCGCCACCCCUUACCUCGAGAUGGGGCGCCAGCGCCGGCUGGCAGAGGAGCGCCGUCGCGAUGAGUACGAGGAGAUGCUUGAGCGCGACCUCGAGGAGGAGCAGCGCGAGGCCGAGGAGGAGGCGCGCCAGGCCGCGGCUGCACAGGCGGCCACACACCCCCCGGCACUGCCUGCACCGGCACAGCCCGACAUGACGGCACUCUGGAACACGGUGUUCCCCUGGGCCGGGCCGGCGCCGACGCUCAUCAACCUCAUGGACCCCGAGGACGACAACGACGCCUAGGGCAGCGCGCCGCCUCGUAGUUUAGGUUGUUUUUAGUUUUUUAAAUGCAAAUGCAGGCGCGUGGACUCUCGCCGGCCUUCGUGGCCAGCUUUAAUGUUUAAUUAAUGUUGUUUCUCUUUUUUUAAUAUGCAUGUGUUCAUUUUUUGGCGCUGUCAAAAUGGGUCUCAGGCCAGCGUUGGGCGCACGCGCCGACCCAAAUGCAGAAGCUAGCAUCCGUGUCCGUCUGGCCGACCCAAACAGACAAAAAGCGGACGAAAUCGCCGUCCGUUUGGUUCGGCCCGUUGGAGUUGCUCUCAGCUUCGCGUUCUCGACGGUGUCCAUGCUUUGUUCCAUCAUGCUGGCACAAACACUGGUGUUCGUUGAAAUGCCUAAGAGAGAGAAAAGAGGAGGAAGAAGAAUGUAGGCGCUCACGUGUGGGCCCUGCCUGUAAUAACGGUCAAUUUGACGGUCAAAUUGAAUGGAGUUGAUUUUGCCGACACGUCAGCCCUGACGAGUGGGUCCCGCAUGUCAUAAACGUGUUUAAAUCAUUUAAAUUCGCAAUUAUCUGAAACUGGUAGUUUCUAGUCACAAAAUUAAGAAAUUUUGGUGGUUUUCGGUCACUUUUUAAAAAGUGGUAGUUUUGUGGGACGGAUAUCCCUAAAGUGGUAGUUUUUUGUCAAACACUCACAUACCAUCAGAUCCAAGGGUGUCCGAUGGGUUGUAAAAUAUCACAGGGCUUACUGGAAAGUAGAAGAGCAAAACAACUCAGUCCUAAUGUGUCCUUCCUCCGUUCCUAAAUAUAGGUCUUUCUAGAGAUUUCAACAGGUGACUACAUGCGAUGCAAAAUAAGUGAAUCUGGAUUCUGAAAUAUGUCUAUAUACAUUCGUAUAUGGUAGUCCAUUUCAAAUCUCGAAAAAGACUUAUAAUUAGGAACGGAGGGAGUAAUAUUCUUUAUGAUAUUUGACAUUAACAACCACUAAAAUAAGAAAGGAGAGCAAGGUAUAUUUGAUCUUUCAUUCCCCAUGCAUUGUAAGUUCUACAUGUUAAGGCUGGUCGUAAUGGUAGUAUCAUAGGUAGUUUCACGUAUGUCAACUAGACAAAUUUGAUGAGGUGGCACAGAAUUAAAUGAAGAAAAAGAGGGUUGAGUAUCAUAUCAUGAUACCGUAUCAUGUUGAAUGAUGUGCUACUAUGUGUAAUGCAUGGCAAUAAAUGAUGUUAGCUAUGAUACUAACAUAUAAUAGUAUCAUACACUAGUAUCAUAUGCAUUAUACUAAUAUAUGAUACUCGCCAUUACGGCCAGCCUAAUAAAUGCCUAGACUCUUAUUUAGUUGAUUUGCAGAAUGUUCUCUAGAAAUAAUCACAGCAUUUCUCUAAAAAAGAUAACAUUGCUGAAAAUCAUGGAAAAAACAUCAGCAAUCUUUGUUCUUUUAGGGGAUCAGCUAUAUUUGACGGCAUGCAUAAAGUAAGUAUAUUCCAAUAUUCAGUGAGCAAAUCCCCAAGUAGUAAUUGCUGGAAUUUAGUUUACUGGAAUUUAGUUUAUUUUGGGCAGCCCAAUAACUAUUUCAAAAAUUCCUAAUAAAUCCUAGAGGCCCACUUAGCCUACUUGUGCAAGGCAAGGGAUACUACUAAAGUUUAGUCCCACAUUGCUAGUUUAGUGGGAGUUGGACCUCCUUAUAAGGGAGGUUCUUUCCCCACUUGUACGAGCAUGAGAACAAGAGUGAUAUCCACGCGCGCUCCUCCGCCGCCGCCCGCCUCGCCACGCCACGCCUCGCCACGCCACGCCUCGCCAUGAGCCGCGCCGCGGGUUGCGGGAAUGAGCCGAGCAGAUAUCUAAAUUUUUACCACGCACUAUGGGCAUAUGAAAGGUCACACGGAAGCUGAAAAGAUUUUUGCGAAAGUGGAGUUCGAAUGCGAACGGUGCAGCCCUUCGGCUGCUGGCUGUUCGCUUCGCCUCCGUCUCUUUGUUUCGCCUUCCGUCGCUGCCCUCUCGCCUCCUUCUCUUGCGCCUAUAAAAGGAAGGUCGCUCCUCCCAGAGAGAUGCACCAGAACUUCUCCUUCCUCUCGCCAUCGGUUCCAUCUCGGAGCUGUUGUUGUCUUCCUCAUCCUGGCUUGCAGCGUGCACCGCACAUCGGCACAGUAGGCCUCCGAAACCGCACCUCUUUGAGUCAUGUACGGGAGAAGGGUGAUAAGGUUUUUGGGGAGCUCUCUGCGCGACUACUGACUGACUCCUUCGUCACGGACGCCCGGACUCCGACGACUACUUCCCCGACGUCGACAACCUCCUCGACGACAUGGCUGGCGCGGACACCGACCCCAAGUCCAGUGCUACUGCUGCUGCUGUCCCAUACGUGUUCUUCUUUCUGUUAGAUGUCCUGCCACAGUUUCUCAUACUAGUACUUGCUCUAGAUAUGUUAGGUUCUACUUCAUAUAUGCAACUAGUUCUAAUGUCUGCUAUAGAUAUGCUAGGCUACGGUUCAUAUAUGCAGAAGCUAUUUACCUUCUCUCUAUCAUAAAGCAUGACUUGUUUUAUCUCUAUUAUAUUAGUCAUGCUUUAUCUAGUAUUUCUGUUAAUAAAAUCAUUUGGUAAAUUGCUCAUAUUUCCAACAAUCCAAAAACCUUAUAAUAGGCAAUUUACCACAAGUGGUUUUGCUGCUUCCAUGAGACCUCCUAUGUUUGAGGGUAUCCACUAUAAGAGGUGGCGCGUGAGAGCAGUCUUAUGGUUUCAAACCGUGAGUUGCUAUGACGCCACUCUCGGCAAACCUGAAGGGGAGCUUGAUGCUCAACAGGCACAAGCCUUUCAGAAAAUGGAUACUUUGUUUAAGGCUGCUCUCUUGAGUGUUCUUGGUGAGAACAUAGUUGAUGCUUAUGCAUGAAUUGAUAAUGGAAAAGAUAUGUGGAAUGCACUCGAGGCCAAGUUUGGGGUCUCGGAUGCUGGCACUGAGCUGUACAUCAUGGAGCAAUUCUAUGAUUACAGGAUGACUGAAGACCGCUCCGUGGUUGAGCAAGCUCAUGAGAUACAGUCAUUUGUUAGAGAACUUGAGCACUUCGGUUGUAUACUACCGGACAAGUUUGUUGCCGGAGGUAUCAUCACUAAGCUUCCUCCUUCAUGGAGGAACUUUGCUACCUUGCUGAAGCAUAAGAGGCAGGAGUUUUCCGUCCCGGAUCUCAUUGGCACUCUUGAUGUGGAAGAAAAAGUGAGAGCAAAGGACACACGUGCUCGAGGUAUUGAGGGAGGAUCUAUUGCCAAUGUGGUACAGAAGCAGAACUUCCAGCCCCACAAGUUCAAGAACAAGGGCAAGUUUGAUGGUAAAGCAAAUUUUGAUGGGAAGAACAAGGCUGUCCAGCACAAGAACUUCAAGAAGAAGAAUGACAAGAAGAAAGGUGUCUGUCAUGUGUGUGGGGAUCCUGAUCAUUGGGCUCCUAGUUGCUCUAAUCGCUAUGACAAGCGUCAUCCUGGGAAAGGCAGCAAGACCGCUAAUGUUGUCAUUGGAGACACUGACAUGAAGGAUGCUGGGUAUGGUAUAUUUCCCACUAUUCUUUCAGUAUGUCAUUCUCCUGAUUGGUUGAUUGACACGGGUGCUAAUGUGCAUGUAUGCGGUGAUAUUUCCAUGUUUUCGUCUUAUCAGACCGCAGGGACUUCAACCGUGAUGAUGGGCAAUGGUUCAAGUGCUUCUGUUCGUGGUGUUGGCACGGUCGAUCCGAAGUUUACUUCGGGGAAGAUCGUGCGGCUGAAGAACGUGCAUUAUGUCCCCGCCGUCAAUAAAAAUCUUGUUAGCGGAUCUCUUCUGUGUAGAGAUGGCUACAAGCUUGUUUUUGAGUCGAAUAAAUUUGUAAUAUACAAGUAUGGAACCUUUGUUGGUAAAGGCUAUGAGUCAGGAGGCCUGUUUCGUUUAUCCUUAUCAGACGUUUGCAAUAAAGUUAUUAAUCAUAUUUGCAACAAUAGUGAAUCAAUUGUGUGGCAUUCACGUCUUUGUCAUGUUAACUUUGGUUGCAUGUCGCGACUAGUGAAGUUGAACUUAAUCCCUAGUUUCACCACUGUCAAGGGAUCUAAGUGGUAAGUGUGUGUGCAAGCUAAGCAACCUCGUAAGUCUCACACGACUAUGGAAACGAGAAAUCUUGCACCACUAGAGCUCAUACAUUCAGAUCUAUGUGAAAUGAAUGGUGUUUUGACAAAAGGUGGAAAGAAAUAUUUCAUGACGUUAAUUGAUGACUCCACUAGAUACUGUCGUGUGUAUCUUCUGAAAUCUAAGGAUGAAGCUUUUAACCUUUUCAAGAUCUAUAAAGCUGAAGUGGAAAACCAACUUGAUCGAAAAAUCAAGAGGCUUAGGUCCGACCGUGGUGGAGAGUAUUUUUCCAAUGAAUUUGAUGCUUUUUGUGUGGAACAUGGUAUAAUCCAUGAGAGUACACCUCCCUAUUCACCUUAGUCAAAUGGGGUGGCUGAAAGAAAGAACCAUACUCUAACAGAUUUGGUUAAUGCCAUGUUAGACAGUUCGGGUCUCUCCAAGGCAUGGUGGGGGAGGCGAUAUUGACUGCAUGUCAUGUCCUAAACCGAGUUCCCACCAAGAACAAAGAGAUAACUCCAUUCGAGGAAUGGGAGAAGAAAAGGUUAAAACUCUCUUAUCUACGAACAUGGGGUUGUUUGGCGAAAGUCAAUGUUCCAAUUCCAAACAAGCGGAAGCUUGGACCAAAGACUGUGGAUUGUGUUUUCCUAGGAUAUGCUUUUCAUAGCGUUGGCUAUAGAUUCUUGGUUGUAAAAUCUGAGGUACCUGAAAUACAUGUCGGUACGAUCAUGGAGUCGAAUGAUGCAACUUUCUUUGAAGAUAUCUUUCCCAUGAAGGAUAUGGCUACCUCAUCUAAUCAGGAGAUGCCUAGUUCAUCGAAUCAGGAAUCAGUUACAAUUACCGAACCUACCAUUUCGAUGGAACAAUUUGAAAGUCAUGUGGAGGAGAACAAUGAAGUUCCUAUUAGGAGCAAGAGACAGAGGACUGCAAAGUCCUUUGGUGAUGAUUUUCUUGUGUAUCUCAUAGAUGACACUCCCAGUUCUAUUUCAGAGGCUUAUGCAUCUGAAGAUGCUAACUACUGGAAGGAAGCGGUGUAUAGCGAGAUGGAUUCCAUCUUAGCGAAUGAAACUUGGGAGAUAACUAAUCGUCCUUAUGGGUGCAAACCUAUAGGAUGCAAAUGGGUAUUCAAGAAGAAGCUUAGUCCUGAUGGUACUAUUGAAAAGUACAAGGCUCGGCUCGUUGCUAAGGGUUAUACCCAAAAGGAAGGUGAAGACUUCUUUGAUACUUACUCACUUGUGGCUUGACUGACCACUAUUCGAGUUCUACUUUCACUAGCUGCCUCACAUGGUCUUCUCGUUCAUCAAAUGGAUGUUAAGACUGCUUUUCUAAAUGGAGAGUUGGACGAGGAAAUUUAUAUGGAACAACCAUAUGGGUUUGUACUAGAUGGUCAGGAAGGAAAAGUGUGCAAGUUGCUGAAGUCUUUGUAUGGACUCAAGCAAGCACCCAAACAGUGGCAUGAGAAGUUUGAAAGAAUUUUAACAGCCGCAGGCUUUGUUGUAAACGAAGCUGACAAAUGUGUGUACUAUCGCCAUGGUGGGGGCGAGGGAGUUAUCCUUUGCUUGUAUGUUGAUGACAUAUUGAUUUUUGGAACAAAUCUAAAUGUUAUUAAGGAGGUCAAGAAUUUCCUAUCUUGCUGUUUUGAGAUGAAGGAUUUAGGAGUGGCUGAUGUCAUUUUGAACAGUAAGUUGUUGAGAGACGAUGAUGGUGGGAUUACAUUGCUUCAAUCUCACUAUGUGGAAAAGAUCUUGAGUCGCUUUGGCUAUAGUGACUGCAAGCCCUCUCCAACACCAUAUGAUGUGAGUGUGUUACUUCGAAAGAAUCGAAGAAUUGCUAGAGAUCAAUUGAAAUAUUCUCAGAUUAUUGGCUCGCUUAUGUACUUAGCAAGUGCUACAAGACCUGACAUCUCUUUUGCUGUUAGCAAACUGAGUCGGUUUGUCUCAAAACCAGGAGAUGUGCAUUGGAAAGCUCUAGAGAGAGUUUUGCAUUAUUUGAAAGGCACUGCAAAUUAUGGAAUUCACUACACCGGGCAUCCAAAGGUGCUUGAAGGGUAUUGUGACUCAAACUGGAUCUCAGAUGCUGAUGAGAUAAAGUCCACGUGCGGUUAUGUAUUCACUCAUGGAGGUGGCGCUGUUUCUUGGAAGUCUUGCAAGCAGACCAUCUUAAUGAGGUCAACAAUGGAAGCAGAACUCACAACACUAGAUACAGCUACAGUUGAAGCAGAUUGGCUUCGCCGGCUCUUGAAUGACUUGCCGGUUGUUGAGAAACCUGUACCGGGUGUCCUUAUGAACUGCGACAGUCAAACUGUGAUCACGAAAGUGAGCAGCUCAAAGGAUAACAUGAAGUCAUCAAGACACGUUCAGAGAAGGUUAAAGUCUGUCAGGAAAAUGAAAAACUCCGGAGUUAUUGCGUUGGAUUAUAUCCAAACGUCUAAAAAUCUGGCAGAUCCUUUUACUAAGGGUCUAUCACGUAAUGUGAUAGAUAAUGCAUCGAGGGAGAUGGGUAUGAGACCCACAAUAUGAGUUGUUCAUAGUGGUAACCUAUUCUUUGUGAUCGGAGAUCCCGUGAAUUAGAUGUGGAAGACAAGCUGUUGGUCAACUGAGAGGAGAGUAUCCUUACUAUUCACAAUACCACUCCAUGAAGAUGCAAUACUCUCCUAAUCUACAUGGCAGGUUGAUGUAUACCUUAAUGUGUUCUAAGUGGCUUAUUUAAGCAGAGAUGUUAUCCUGCAGAACAUCUUUUGAAGAACACACCUAUAUGAGUCUGAUUGUCAAAUGUCGCAAUAUCUAUGAGAGUAGGGUUCUCUCUAGUAAACUCAUAAAAUGUCACGGAGUAUGACGCAUAAGCUCCAGCCGCGGGGAAGACCCACGGUAGCCACGUAUCGGUCAAGGCUUUAUGUUAAGCUAGAUUCGCAGAAAACUUGCACUUCAAGGCCCAGUCCACUGUUCAAGUUGCUUACUAGUGUAGCAUAGAGUUCUAGGUGAAAGUUCAACUUAACAGUCUCCACUGCAGUACCGAUAUAUAAAACAAUGUUUUGGAACCAAAGGCAAAUUUUUGUGUGCCUCUGGGAUCUGGUGGGGGAUUGCUGGAAUUUAGUUUAUUUUGGGCAGCCCAAUAACUAUUUCAGAAAUUCCUAAUAAAUCCUAGAGGCCCACUUAGCCCAUUUGUGCAAGGCAAGGGAUACUACUAAAGUUUAGUCCCAUAUUGCUAGUUUAGUGGGAGUUGGACCUCCUUAUCAGGGAGGUUCUUUCCCCACUUGUACAAGCAUGAGAACAAGAGGGAUAUCCACGCGCGCUCCUCCUCCGCCGCCCGCCUCACCACGCCGUGCCGCGCCGCGGGUUGCGGGAAUGAGCCGAGCCGAUAUCUAAAUUUUUGCCAUGCACUACGGGUAUACGAAAGGUCACACGGAAGCUGAAAAGAUUUUUGCGAAAGUGGAGUUCGAAUGUGAACGGCGCAACCCUUUGGCUGCUGGCUGUUCGCUUCGCCUCCGUCUCUUCGUUUCGCCUUCCGUCGCUGCCCUCUCGCCUCCUUCUCUUGCGCCUAUAAAAGGGAUGUCGCUCCUCCCAGAGAGACGCACCAGAACUUCUCCUUCCUCUCGCCAUCGGUUCCAUCUCGGAGUUGCUGCUGUCUUCCUCAUCCCGGCUUGCGGCGUGCACCGCAUGUCGGGACAGUAGGCCUUCGAAACCGCACCUCUUUGAGUCAUGUACGGGAGAAGGGUGAUAAGGUUUUUGGGGAGUGCUCUGCGCGACUACUGACUGACUCCUUCGUCACGGACGCCCUGGACUCCGACGACUACUUCCCCGACGUCGACAACCUCCUCGACAACAUGGCUGGCGAGGACACCGACCCCAAGUCCAGUGCUACUACUGCUGCUGUCCCGUACGUGUUCUUCUUUCUGUUAGAUGUCCUGCCAUAGUUUCUCGUACUAGUACUUGCUCUAGAUAUGUUAGGUUCUACUUCAUAUAUGCAACUAGUUCUACUGUCUGCUAUAGAUAUGCUAGGCUACGGUUCAUAUAUGCAGAAGCUAUUUACCUUCUCUCUGUCAGAAAGCAUGACUUGUUUUAUCUCUAUUAUAUUAGUCACGCUUUAUCUAGUAUUUAUGUUAAUAAAAUCAUUUGGUAAAUUGCUCAUAUUUCCAACAGUAAUUCCCAUUCAGCAACAUGGACGAUAAUAAUAUUUUCUUGUGAUCCGUAACAAAAGUUCAAAAUUAGCCAAAAUACUGAAGGGGGAUGUCCCGGUAGCUACACCAACUUUCUAUGGCCAGAAUCGGUGGAAUCGGAUGCGACGGCCCAAGAUUUGGUAGCAGACAUCCCGGACGGCAGGGUGGUGGCGGGGCUGAGAACGGCCGAUUGAGUCGCGGCGGUGGCAUGCGCUGCGACAGUCGGUCAGAGUAGGUGUGGCGACCGUCAGCGGUGGGGUAGUCUCAUCACGAGUGGUUGGGUUCCUGCUGCAUUGUUUUUGGUUUCAGCGCAGCUGCUAGAUAUGUGUAACAAAAUUUUGGGUAAUUUUCUUUUGCAACAUAUGGGUAUAUAGGGCAUCUUUUGGACACUUUUUGUUUGCCCAAAGUGACCUAACUGACAACUUUUUUGACACAACGGCUAUUUUAAAGAAAGCAUAUUAAGCUGAGUGUGCAGACCACCUAGCAAAGGCUGAUUUCACCUCGACGGGUUUGACACUCAGCGUAACGCACUCAGGGUACAUCAUGUCGGUCGACAUACCGACGUAAGCCGAGUGCCUUUGGUCCACUAGUAGAGAAAUGACAGAACAAAACAUCGUAGGGUGUGCGAUGGGUUGUCCGAUUGUGAAUUAUGUCUGGUGCUAUGUUUGCUUGUAAAAAAUGAGUAAUUGUAUAAUGUAGCACUUAUUUUAGACCUAGUCGAGCCCAUUCAUCGCACACGAUUUUGAAAGAGUGUGCAUUGGCACCCCAAUCGCCAACCCAUCCGAGCACACGAUUGUUAAUUAUAACCGUAUGUGAUGGACCCUUCCUAUUGCACAUAGUUUGUAUGUUCUAACUGUGUGUGAUGGACUCAAUAUCGCAUACAGUUUUUAUGCUCUAACCGCAGCCUAGGCUCGAGAUUAACCCAACGCGAUGGUUGAUGAACUAUGAGCAGGCCCUUCUACUAUGUUAGUGAUCACUAGUUUAAAUAGGUAUUAUACUUCUCUCUUAUCUCCUGGCUGGGAUUUGGAUGAUGGCAUCAGGCGGUGUAAUCGUGUAGCUAUGAUGGUGGACGGGCGGCUAGUUAAGAAACCAAUUUCCGCAAUUUCAAAUUCUAAUCCCUAGCAAUUCCUCUUGAUCGAGUGAGUUGCUCAUGGUUGGUAUAAGAUUCAGUGGUCCUAGAGUUGCCGCGACACCAUCACUGGACGCGGUGGCGUGAUCGGCGAUGAGCGGAGGCGAUGGACAAGUCGUCUGAGGAAGGGUGCAGCAUGUACGCGCUUCAACGAGCAUAUUGCACCAUAGGUCUGGACCGACUCUUCAAGGAUCACGAUGAGAACCUCCUUCAAGCGGUCGACAAUCUCAUCCAAUCCAACACUGCCACGCUCGAUGGCUUGCUUUCGGCUCAUGACCCAACAAUUAUAAUAGUAUGGAACAAUAAAAAAUUAUAAAUACGUUGGAGACGUAUCAUAAACCAACAAGAUCUAAAUUAAAUAUAUUGCUUGGAGUUGCUUUUAGUUUAGUUGCAUUGCACAAUUUUUUAAGAGAAGCGGAAGGUGGAGAGGUAGGCACAUGCUCCUCCGCACUCUUCAUUUUGGAUAUGGGUACUGAGCCUCUCUGACGGUCUGGGAGUUCAUGCUAUAACAUUGUGGAAAUUUUGACCGAGAUGUUAGGUAUGAGUCUGUGCUGGGCUAAGUAGGCAUCCUGAAAGAGAUGAUCUCCACAAUGAGGAGAUAAUCAUUCUAUGCACCGCAUACCGAUGUAAAACUCAAGUAUAUCUAAAUGAAAUAUUUCUUUCUUGCGGGUGUUUUAUGAUUUAGUUGCACUGCACAACAUUAUUUGAAGAGAAGAGAACCCUCAUUGGUACCAAAUCCAACAUAAAGGAUCAAACUGUUGGGGAUGUUGAUGUUUUCCCUUGAUUCAUUUUUAGGUUUUUGCAUAUGUUUCAUAUGUUGGCUGUGAAGUGCGUAAAUGAAUGUUGCUCUGAAAUUUCAAUUCAAUAUGCAGGUCUAUUAUGAGAUGCAAAGCUUUGUGCAAAUGAAUGAUGUAUGCCUAUGUUUAUUUGAAUGUUUACUUUCAAUUUCAUUCAUGUGACUAGUUAAGUAAUAAAAAAAUUGAGGAGUGUUUCAUCUGACUAUCAUUAGCCGGGGAGAGUUCCUAAAGAAAACAUUUAUACCCCUAACAUCUUCUUUUAGAAAGGAGGCGCUUGCUCGGCCUUAAAUUGAGGCCCUUAGAGCAUCUCCAACAGGCGCCGAACGCGCCACAUGCAAAAAACAGCUUUAGCGCGCGCCUAUCACCUGGUUUGGCGCGGUGCGCCGCGCUGGCUCCAGCAGCCGCGCUAAAUAUGCAGCACGCGCUACUCGCCGGUGCAUUUCAUAUGGCAUUUUCAACACAAAAUGAAGUUGAUGAACAUUUUCAACACAAUAAAAUUUCACACAAACAAGUUGAAGAAGAAAAGUUCAUGCCCACAAGUUCAAAAUCAUGACCACAAGUUCAUCCAACCAAGUUCAGAAUGCAAAUCAAGUUCAAUACACAAAUGAAAGACACAUCAUUCCUCGUCCUCGUCUUCGUCCUCGUCCUUAUCUUCGGAAGACGAUUCUUCCGCCUACGAAGAUGAAUCUUCCUCCCUCUCUUCAUCGCGCACCGCAUCACGUGAAGCUCCGACGGUGUUGGCAAGAUCUUCAACGGCAUCUUCAUGGGAAUGUGUGCGAGGAGGCACAUCGAAAGACAUUCCGCCCAUGGCGACCGGAGGUGCAUCCAUGCCUCCCAUGAGAGAAGCAAAACUCAUACCUCCCAUGGUGGCCAUACCGGGACCUAAGUGAUCGGUCGGAGCGGUCAAUUCCACUCACGUUGCGAACAUCAAAGUGUUCCUUCAUCCGAAGCCAAUAAGCAUCUCUACUUUGAUCACCUCCAACGGAUGGAUCCCUCGACACUUGCAACCAAGUAUUGCAUAGUAAGAUGUCAUCGGCGUUGCUGUAAUUGCCCGCUCUUCCUUUCGGUGUGUCGACAAUGACCUCACCCUCCUCGUCCACCUCGAACUCAUGGUUUUUGAAAUGCAUGUCAUUGGUUUGAGACCAAUGUGAAUUGUUGGAGCCAACACCCAUCGUUGACAUGUAUGCAUCAUCAUUGAGACUACAAAGUUUUUUGAACAAUGCAAAUAAGCUAUCUAUAUGUGAAUGCAUUCAAAAAAUAACAAAAAAAUGAAAAGUUGGAUUUUUUACCUUGGAGGCAUUUCGUCGAACAUGUUGUGCGCGCCGGUCGCCGGCUCAACGAGUGAGCUCGCCGGCGCUUCGGUAGCCACCGCGCCCGUCGCACGCCCCACAAGCUUCUUCCUCCUCGCCUUGGAGGUGUCGGAGCCGUCCGCCGCCUUGUUUUUCUUCGCCGAUGUCUUGCCCUUAUUUGGCCGCGCUGCAUUGGGGAGCUUUGAGGAGGAGCGGCGGCGGCUCGGGCCAGCGCCGGCGCGACGCCACCCGCCGCCGAGGUCAUCCGCGGCGGCAUGAAGAGGCCGCGCGCGAGGCCGAUGGUCGGAGGAGCUCCGACGGAGGCGAGGACAACGCCACCCAGGCUAGGGUUUGCGGCGGCGGCGGCGGGGGGUCGCGCGAAUAGGACGGGAUGAGUGGGGUUCCGGCACGUGCGUCCAUGGGGUGCGGGUGCCGGCGCUGGGGCGCGUGGGGCUUUGGAGGGAGAGAAUACAAAGCACAACGCGAGCACUCAAGUGUGCCGCGCGCGAAAGCGGGCGCCGCAAAUACACCACGCGAGGUAGCGCUUCCUGCCGCGUGCCCAACUCCUUAUACCGCGCGAGCGGUUAUUGCGCGCCCGCUGGAGCCAUCCGCCGGGUUGCGCGUGCGCUAAACUGGGUAUAUUUACGGCGCAGCACCUGUUUAGCGCGCCUGUUGGAGAUGCUUUUACAAAUCCACAAGUUCAAUUAUCCGAACAACAAAGUUAAAAGCAAAAGAUACAAGCCUACAGGCAGAAUCACAGCAGCGCAGCGCUGACAAGCCAACAAUAAGAAGGAAAUGGGCUAUCGAGGUAGCGAGGGGCGGUGAUGAGCCGGUGAUGUCCCCUAUGGUGGUCGGCGCAUCUCAGUGCACCUUGCUCGCACCUUUGUUACGAGCUCCUGCACGCGUCCUCUGUCUUGUGGUUUUGCCAGUAGCUUCCAAAGCUGCAAGAAAGACACCAUUUUGUAUAGAAGAUCAGCUGGAUGCUUGAUAAAAUGAACAUACAAAAUGAAGGUGGUUAUUCGUACGAAACUGCCUGUGGCAAGAAGGGAAUAGAAAGCGGGAUGAAAUCACAUGUGUUGUCCAUGAUAUUGGAGGCGGUUUGCACAACCGCCGACUUUGUGCAGAGUAUUAACGAAUCAGGCUUUGAGGAGGAAAUGAAACUAGUGUUGUAAUAUAUUCCAAAAAUAUUUGGUUCCAGGAAACAUUUGAAUUAAUAGUAUAUCAGAAAAACAUAAAAAACAUAUUAUAUAUAUUUGUCCAAUAUAGGUAGUAAAAUAAUAUAAUGGUUUUUUUCCCAUUCAUGUUGGGUGGGCCUUCGAUGAGGUGGCAUAUGUGCAUGGCUUAUAUGUGUAUGUUGAAAUAAAUAGAAUUAAUGAGGGUCAAUCCAUAAUAAAAAAUAAUUCUCAUGCAUAUUGUGAUGGAUCGUUGAUAAUGUGACAUGUGUGCAUGUUAAGAUAAUAGAAAUAACGAGGAUAAACUACUUAGGUAUGUAGGAUAUGUUUUCAAUCUCAUUUUAUGGUACGUAUUGAUUAUGCAGAUUUGAUGAACGUUUUGGCAAAACCAUUAACUAUAGAAUGUUCUAGGCCAGAAAUACAUAUGAUUUAAUGGGAUGAUAUAUUUAGCAUAUUUGAUGAGGCAGUUGAUGGAAUGAUAAUUAGGAACAAAAUAAAUGAAAUUAAAGUACGAUUGACUUCGAUUUCGUUGGGCAGCAUAUAUAAUACGUGGUCAGGGCCUCAGUCUACAUGCACUUCCCAGUUCCUCAUAUUCCUUGAUACAAUUUGUAAGCAGCAACAAUUAGCUAGCCAUGGCCAACCAGCAUCUGCUCCUCAUCGUCUUCAUAGCUUUCAUCCUCCAAGCGGCCACCUCCGACACAGCGUACGAACUUUUGGAGAAAAACAACUUCCCGCGGGCUCUCCUGCCUCAGGGUGUGAAGUCGUACGUGAACCAUGGGGGCGCCGUUGAGGUGACCCUCCCCACCUCGUGCGACUUCAACGUUACGGUUGCCGGUGGAUCACACAAGAUUCGGUUUGACAGCAUAGUCAGUGGGGUUAUCCGGCCCGGAUCCAUAACUCAACUGGGCGGCGUGAGGAUCCAGUUUGAGUGGGAUUUUCUUGCAUUCCACACGGUUCAACGCGUCGGUGACAAGCUCAGGUUUACUGGUAGUGAGCAUGCAGCCACAUUCGACCAGUCAUUUCCGGUUAGCAACUUCGUGCAGAGCCCCACGUGCAGCUAAGGGUGUGAUCGAUUAGGGAUGCAUGCACGCCUUUCAUAUAAUGUAGUAUCCAAUAUGAAUGUGUUUGUGUGAGUCCAUUGCUUUAUGUAGAGUGAAUAAACUGAUUAUGUAAUAAGUCAUGGUUCCAAGACGUAAUAUUAUUGCGAUGAUCAUAAUUUUCUUGCACAAUUAUUUAUUGCGAGAUGUUGCAACGGUUCAUCCUAAUCAUAGGAACAAGAUAUUCCACAUGAUAUACUCUGUCGUAGUCUUGCAAGUAAUUAGAAAUAACCUUUAUCUACAUAGCAUGAGAUCUAAGGGUGUGUGAUGGGUUGUAAAAUAUCAUAGGGCUUACUGGAAAAUAGAACAACAAAUCAACUCAAUCCUAAUGUGGUAUGCUAGGAUAUGGUUCAUAUAUGCAGAAGCUAUUUACCUUCUUUCUGUCAGAAAGCAUGACUUGUUUUAUCUCUAUUAUAUUAGUCAUGCUUUGUCUAGUAUUUAUGUUAAUAAAAUCAUUUGGUAAAUUGCUCAUAUUUCCAACAGUAAUUCCCAUUCAGCAACAUGGACGAUAAUAAUAUUUUCUUGUGAUCCAUACAAAAAGUUCAAAAUUAGCCAAAAUACUGAACGGGGAUGUCCCGGUAGCUACACCUACUUUUUAUGGUCAGAAUCGGUGGAAUCGGAUGCGCUGCCUAAGAUUUGGUAGUAGACAUCCCGGACGGCAGGGUGGUGGCGGGGCUGAGAACGGCAGAUUGAGUCGCGGCGGCGGCAUGCGCUGCGACAGUCGGUCAGAGUAGGUGUGGCGACCAUCGGUGGUGGGGUAGUCUCAUCGCGAGUGGUUGGGUUCCUGCUGCAUUGUUUUUGGUUUCAGCGCAGCUGCUAGAUAUGUGUAAGAAAAUUUUGGGUAACUUUCUUUUGCAACAUAUGGGUAUAUAGGGCAUCUUUUGGACACUUUUUGUUUGCCCAAAGUGACCUAACUGACAACCUUUUUGACACAACGGCUAUUUUAAAGAAAGCAUAUUAAGCUGAGUGUGCAAACCACCUAGCAAAGGCUGAUUUCACCUCGGCAGGUUUGACACUCAGCGUAACGCACUCAGCGUACAUCAUGUCGGUCGGCAUACCGACGUAAGCCGAGUGCCUUUCGUCCACUAGUAGAGAAAUGACAGAACAAAACAUCGUAGGGUGUGCGAUGGGUUGUCCGAUUGUGAGUUAUGCCUGGUGCUAUGUUUGCUUGUAAAAAAUGAGUAAUUGUAUAAUGUAGCACUUAUUUUAGACCUAGUCUAGCCCAUUCAUCGCACACGGUUUUGAAAGAGUGUGCGUUGGCACCCCAAUCGCCAACCCAUCCGAGUACACGAUUGUUAAUUAUAACCGUAUGUGAUGGACCCUUCCUAUUGCACAUAGUUUGUAUGUUCUAACUAUGUGUGAUGGACUCAAUAUCGCAUUCAAUUUUUAUGCUCUAACCGCAGCCUAGGCUCGAGAUUAACCCAACACGAUGGUUGAUGAACUAUGAGCAGGCCCUUCUACUAUGUUAGUGAUCACUAGUUUAAAUAGGCAUUAUACUUCUCUCUUAUCUCCUGGCUGGGAUUUGGAUGAUGGUAUCAGGCGGUGUAAUCGUGUAGCUAUGAUGGUGGACGGGCGGCUAGUUAACAAACCAAUUUCCGCAAUUUCAAAUUCUAAUCCCUAGCAAUUCUUGUUGAUCGAGUGAGUUUCUCACAGUUGGUAUAAGAUUCAGUGGUCCUAGAGUUGCCGCGACACCAUCACUGGACGCGGUGGCAUGAUCGGCGAUGAGCGGAGGCGAUGGACAAGUCGUCUGAGGAAGGGUGCAGCAUGUACGCGCUUCAACGAGCGUAUUGCACCGUAGGUCUGGACCGGCUCUUCAAGGAUCACGAUGAGAACCUCCUUCAAGCGGUCGACAAUCUCAUCCAAUCCAACACUGCCACGCUCGAUGGCUUGCUUUCGGCUCAUGACCCAACAAUUAUAAUAGUAUGGAACAAUAAAAAAUUAUAAAUACGUUGGAGACGUAUCAUAACCCAACAAGAUCUAAAUUAAAUAUAUUGCUUGGAGUUGUUUUUUAGUUUAGUUGCAUUGCACAAUUUUUUUUAAGAGAAGCGGAAGGUGGAGAGGUAGGCACCUGGUCCUCCGCACUCUUCAUUUUGGAUAUGGUACUGAGCCUCUCUGACGGUCUGGGAGUUCAUGCUAUAACAUUGUGGAAAUUUAGAUCGAGAUGUUAGGUAUGAGUCUGUGCUGGCCUAAGUAGGCAUCCUGAAAGAGAUGAUCUCCACAAUGAGGAGAUAAUCAUUCUAUGCACCGCAUACCGAUGUAAAACUCAAGUAUAUCUAAAUGAAAUAUUUCUUUCUUGCGGGUGUUUUAUGUUUUAGUUGCACUGCACAACAUUAUUUGAAGAGAAGAGAACCCUCAUUGGUACCCAAGCCAACAUAAAGGAUCAAACUGUUGGGGAUGUUGAUGUUUCCCCUUGAUUCAUUUUUAGGUUUUUGCAUAUGUUUCAUAUGUUGGCUGUGAAGUGCGUAAAUGAAUGUUGCUCUGAAAUUUUAAUUCAAUAUGCAGGUCUAUUAUGAGAUGCAAAGCUUUGUGCAAAUGAAUGAUGUAUGCCUAUGUUUAUUUGAAUGUUUACUUUCAAUUUCAUUCACGUGACUAGUUAAGUAAUAAAAAAAUUGAGGAGUGUUUCAUCUGACUAUCAUUAGCCGGGGAGAGUUCCUAAAGAAAACAUUUAUACCCCUAACUUCUUCUUUUAGAAAGGAGGCGCUUGCUCGGCCUUAAAUUGAGGCCCUUAGAGCAUCUACAACAGGCGCCGAACGCGCCGCGCGCAAAAAACAGCUUUAGCGCACGCCUAUCGUCUGGUUUGGCGCGGCGCGCAGCGCUGGCUCCAGCAGCCGCGCUAAAAUGCAGCGCGCGCGCCGAUCCAGCAGCGUGCAAAAAUGCAGCGCGCGCGACUCGCCGGUGCAUUUCAUAUGGCAUUUUCAACACAAAAUGAAGUUGAUGAACAUUUUCAACACAAUAAAAUUUCACACAAACAAGUUGAUGAAGAAAAGUUCAUGCCCACAAGUUCAAAAUCAUGACCACAAGUUCAUCCAACCAAGUUCAAAAUGCAAAUCAAGUUCAAUACACAAAUGAAAGACACAUCAUUCCUCGUCCUCGUCCUCGUCUUCGUCCUCAUCCUCAUCUUCGGAAGACGAUUCUUCUGCCUCCGAAGAUGAAUCUUCCUCCCUCUCUUCAUCGCGCACCGCAUCACGUGAAGCUCCGACGGUGUUGGCAAGAUCUUCAACGGCAUCUCCAUGGGAAUGUGUGUGAGGAGGCACAUCGAAAGACAUUCCGCCCAUGGCGGCCGGAGGUGCAUCCAUGCCUCCCAUGAGAGAAGCAAAACUCAUACCUUCCAUGGUGGCCAUACCGGGACCUAAGUGAUCGGUCGGAGCGGUCAAUUCCACUCACGUUGCGAACAUCAAAGUGUUCCUUCAUCCGAAGCCAAUAAGCAUCUCUACUUUGAUCACCUCCAAUGGAUGGAUCCCUCGACACUUGCAACCAAGUAUUGCAUAGUAAGAUGCCAUUGGCGUUGCUGUAAUUGCCCGCUCUUCCUUUCGAUGCGUCGACAAUGCCCUCACCCUCCUCGUCCACCUCGAACUCAUGGUUUUUGAAAUGCAUGUCAUUGGUUUGAGACUAAUGUGAAUUGUUGGAGCCAACACCCAUCGUUGACAUGUAUGCAUCAUCAUUGAGACUACAAAGUUUUUUGAACAAUGCAAAUAAGCUAUGUAUAUGUGAAUGCAAUCAAAAAAUAACAAAAAAUGAAAAGUUGGAUUUUUUUACCUUGGAGGCAUUUCGUCGAACAUGUUGUGCGCGCCGGUCGCCGGCUCAACGAGUGAGCUCGCCGGCGCUUCGGUAGCCGCCGCGCCCGUCGUACGCCCCGCAAACUUCUUCCUCCUCGCCUUGGAGGUGCCGGAGCCGUCCGCCGCCUUGUUUUUCUUCGCCGAUGUCUUGCCCUUCUUUGGCCGCGCCGCAUUGGGGAGCUUUGAGAAGGAGGGGCGGCGGCUCGGGCCAGCGGCGGCGCGACGCCACCCGUCGCCGAGGUCAUCCGCGGCGGCAUGAAGAGGUCGCGCGCGAGGCCGAUGGUCGGAGGAGCUCUGGCGGAGGCGAGGCCAAUGCCACCCGGGCUAGGGUUUGCGGCGGCGGCGACGGGGGGUCGCGUGAAUAGGACGGGGUGAGCGGGGUUCCGGCACGUGCGUCCAUGGGGUGCGCGUGCCGGUGCCGGGGCGCGUGGGGCUUUGGAGGGGGAGAAGACAGAGCACAGCGCGAGCGCUCGAGUGUGCCGCGCGCGAAAGCGGGCGCCGCAAAUACACCGCGCGAGGUAGCGCUUCCUGCCGCGUGCCCAACUCCUUAUACCACGCGAGCGGUUAUUGCGCGCCCGCUGGAGCCAUCCGUCGGGUUACGCGCGCGCUAAACUGGGUAUAUUUACGGCGCGGCGCCUGUUUAGCGCGCCUGUUGGAGAUGCUCUUACAAAUCCACAAGUUCAAUGAUCCGAACAACAAAGUUAAAAGCAAAAGAUACAAGCCUACAGGCAGAAUCACAGCGGCGCAGCGCUGACAAGCCAACAACAAGAAGGAAAUGGGCUAUCGAGGUAGCGAGGGGCGGUGAUGAGACGGUGAUGUCCCCUACGGUGGUCGGCGCAUCUCAGUGCACCUUGCUCGCACCUUUGUUACGAGCUCCUGCACGCAUCCUCUGUCUUGUGGUUUUACUAGUAGCUUCCAAAGCUGCAAGAAAGACACCAUUUUGUAUAGAAGAUCAGCUGGAUGCUUGAUAAAAUGAACAUACAAAAUGAAGGUGGUUAUUCGUACGAAACUGCGUGUGGCAAGAAGGGUAUAGAAAGUGGGACGAAAUCACAUGUGUUGUCCAUGAUAUUGGAGGCGGUUUGCACAACCGCCGACUUCGUGCAGAGUAUUAACGAAUCAGGCUUUGAGGAGGAAAUGAAACUAGUGUUGUAAUAUAUUCCAAAAAUAUUUGGUUCCAGGAAACAUUUGAAUUAAUAGUAUAUGAGAAAAACAUAUUAUAUAUUUGUAUAGUUGAAAAAUAUUUGUCCAAUAUAGGUAGUAAAAUAAUAUAAUGGUUUUUUUCCAUGCAUGUUGGGUGGGCCUUCGAUGAGGUGGCAUAUGUGCAUGGCUUAUAUGUGUAUGUUGAAAUAAAUAGAAUUAAUGAGGGUCAAUCCAUAAUAAAAAAAUAAUUCUCAUGCAUAUUGUGCUGGAUCGUUGAUGAUGUGACAUGUGUGUAUGUUAAGAUAAUAGAAAUAACAAGGAUAAACUAUUUAGGUAUGUAGGAUAUGUUUUUAAUCUCAUUUUAUGGUACGUAUUGAUUAUGCAGAUUUGAUGAACGUUUUGGCAAAACCAUUAACUAUAGAAUGUUCUAGGCCAGAAAUAAAUAUGAUUUAAUGGGAUGAUAUAUUUAGCAUAUUUGAUGAGGCAGUUGAUGGAAUGAUAAUUAGGAACAAAAUAAAUGAAAUUAAAGUACGAUUGACUUUGAUUUCGUUGGGCAGCAUAUAUAAUACGUGGUCAGGGCCUCAAUCUACAUGCACUUCCCAGUUCCUCAUAUUCCUUGAUACAAUUUGUAAGCAGCAACAAUUAGCUAGCCAUGGCCAACCAGCAUCUGCUCCUCAUCGUCUUCAUAGCUUCCAUCCUCCAAGCGGCCACCUCCGACACAGCGUACGACCUUUUGGAGAAAAACAACUUUCCGCGGGCUCUCCUACCUCAGGGUGUGAAGUCGUACGUGAACCAUGGGGGCGCUGUUGAGGUGACCCUCCCCGCCUCGUGCGACUUCAACGUUACGGUUGCCGGUGGAUCACACAAGAUUCGGUUUGACAGCAUAGUCAGUGGGGUUAUCCGGCCCGGAUCCAUAACUCAACUAGGCGGCGUGAGGAUCCAGUUUGAGUGGGAUUUUCUUGCAUUCCACACGGUUCAACGCGUCGGUGACAAGCUCAGGUUUACUGGUAGUGAGCAUGCAG
rnacentral:lncRNA from 1 species